UACGUAGGGCGCAAGCGUUGUCCGGAAUUAUUGGGCGUAAAGAGCUCGUAGGCGGUCUGUUACGUCUGCUGUGAAAACCCGGGGCUUAACCCUGGGCUUGCAGUGGAUACGGGCAGACUAGAGGCAGGUAGGGGAGAAUGGAAUUCCCGGUGUAGCGGUGAAAUGCGCAGAUAUCGGAAGGAACACCAGUGGCGAAAGCGGCUUCCUGGUCCAGCACCGACGUUCAGGCACGAAAGCGUGGGGAGCAAACAGG
rnacentral:rRNA from 1 species